UACAGGGGGUGCAAACGUUGCUCGGAAUCAUUGGGCGUAAAGCGCACGUAGGCGGUUUGGUAAGACAGAUGUGAAAUCCCCGGGCUUAACCUGGGAAUUGCAUUUGUGACUGCCCGGCUAGAGUGUGUCAGAGGGGGGUGGAAUUCCACGUGUAGCAGUGAAAUGCGUAGAUAUGUGGAGGAAUACCGAUGGCGAAGGCAGCCCCCUGGGAUAACACUGACGCUCAUGCACGAAAGCGUGGGGAGCAAACAGG
rnacentral:rRNA from 1 species